UACAGUGGCGGCGGCUCCAGCGGCGUGUUGUCACUCAGGAGGACUCGGGGCGAGUUGUAGCGUCUCUGCUGCCUCAAGAGAUCUAAAGCUUGUUUUUUAAAAUGUCUGCCUGAAUGAGUUUAAUAAUAAGAGAAUUUAUUGAAUCUUCUGGCAAACUCCUUUGAUCCAUGUUGGAAGACUGGAUGCCACGAAGGAACCCCAUUAAUGGGAAAAAUGUUGGAAAGCGUUUUCCUGAACUUCAGGUGAAAAGUCUUAUGGAUUUGGUGGGAAAGAUGAAUAGUAAUCAACUGUUUGUACAAUAUGGACUUGUGAAGGUAGAUUGCUGCUGAGUGCUGAAUGUCCCUGCACACACCCUCCUGGACACUUCCAUUUCUCAGGAUACAGAAAUUUCAACACAUACAGAUUGAAACUACAGCUUCCACAACAGCCAGACCCUCUAACAAGCUGAAGAAUUCAAAGACAUAAUCAAGUGAUGGCUGCCCUAAAUGUUAACCCUCCCAUCCUGAGGGGCAACCAAACUAGAAAUUUGAGUGAGGGGAUUUGAAACAAAUUCAUUCCUCUGGCACACUGGCAGGGGAGCACAGCUACACAUCUGACAGGGAGCCCACAAAGGUUCACCAUCUCUGCAGCAGCUCAGAGGUGUAUUAAUUAAUUCACUCAAGGCCAUUUAUAAGAGAAGACACCUCUGUGCACUGAGCCCCAGUAGCCUCCAGUGAAUGGUAUAUACUUCAUUUCUUAUGGAAAUGGAGUUCAGCACAGAGUCACUGACAUUUCCUCUUCCUCUUCAAACGACUGGCUGAGCAAAGCACAGCAGGACAGCUGCUCACCAGAGAUAUGAAACUCCUCUGCACUUUGAACCAAUCCACAAUGGAGGUGACUGUGACCCUGCUGGUCACUGGGGAGAGCUUUCCCAACCUGUGACAUCUUCCUGAGAGCCAGAUUUUGGAUAACACCUCUGCUGCAAGGAGCAGUUUGUGCUCUGACCUGUCAGAUGAGCUCUGCAGAGUCACACAGGUAAUUGCAAUGGCAGGAGGGUGUCUACAUUUGAUCCUUCCACAGAUAUAUCUGUGUUUUUUUGGAGAUCAACAGGAGGCUGCUGUACACAGACCUGCCUGAUUCCAAGAGAAAGGUCAGGAGCAGUUCCUCCAUGCUUACCUCCCUCUUUGGAACAGCUGCUGCUUCUCACACCUUGUGCACAGCUAAUUCUUGUCAGGUUUGGCCCUGCACCUCCCUCCCCUGCCACCAACACCAGGGCACUUGAGAACUCCCUGGAGGCAUUUGGCACUCCCCAGCAUCCUCUCACAAUCCCACUGAGGGACUGGACUGUUAAUAAUGGCUGGUGCCAUAUCAGCUAUCCCAACUACAUCCCCAGGUCUAUAAUCAGCUAUAGGAGUAGGCAGCCUCUUCUCAGUCACAAUGAGGUCCUUUUCCAUUCCAACUCCAUCCCUCACUGACACUUUUGUGACAUAUUUGCAUGUUUACACCUGCC